GUCCACGCCGUAAACGGUGGAUGCUGGAUGUGGGGACCAUUCCACGGUCUCCGUGUCGGAGCCAACGCGUUAAGCAUCCCGCCUGGGGAGUACGGCCGCAAGGCUAAAACUCAAAGAAAUUGACGGGGGCCCGCACAAGCGGCGGAGCAUGCGGAUUAAUUCGAUGCAACGCGAAGAACCUUACCUGGGCUUGACAUGUUCCCGACAGCCGUAGAGAUACGGUCUCCCUUCGGGGCGGGUUCACAGGUGGUGCAUGGUCGUCGU
rnacentral:rRNA from 1 species